AUCCCUCACUUACGGCCUUUUGACUAAGAUCAAGUGUAAGUUCUUAUGAGUUUAAUAUCUGAUACUUCUCUUAUACCAUAUAGUACAUAGAUUUUUUUUUUUUUUUAGGACGUGGGCCGAUGGGAGGCUUGUUUCCGUCGCCCCAUUCCUUGACCCACUAUAGUGGUAUUUUCGGGUACAGUAGACAGGGUACUGAUA